AUGAGAGUUUGAUUCUGGCUCAGAACGAACGCUGGCGGAAGGCUUAACACAUGCAAGUCGAGCGCACCCUUCGGGGUGAGCGGCAGACGGGUGAGUAACGCGUGGGAACGUGCCCUUUGGUUCGGAAUAGCCCUUGGAAACGAGGAGUAAUGCCGGAUAAGCCCUACGGGGGAAAGAUUUAUCGCCAAAGGAUCGGCCCGCGUUAGAUUAGGUAGUUGGUGAGGUAAAGGCUCACCAAGCCGACGAUCUAUAGCUGGUUUGAGAGGAUGAUCAGCCACACUGGGACUGAGACACGG
rnacentral:rRNA from 1 species